AGUGAAUAGAUACCCUGGUAGUCCACGCCCUAAACGAUGAUCACUGGGUGUUGGGGAAGCGAUUCCUUGGUACCGUAGCUAAACGCGUGAAGUGAUCCGCCUGGGGAGUACGGUCGCAAGAUUAAAAACUCAAAGGAAUUGACGGGGACCCGCACAAGCGGUGGAUGAUGUGGAUUAAUUCGAUGCAACGCGAACAACCUUACCUACCCUUGACAUGUCCGGAACCCUGCUGAGAGGUGGGGUGCCCGAAAGGGAAUCGGAACACAGGUGCUGCAUGGCUGUCGUCAGCUCGUGUCGUGAGAUGUUGGGUUAAGUCCCGCAACGAGCGCAACCCUUGUCCCUAGUUGCUACGCAAGGGCACUCUAGGGAGACUGCCGGUGACAAACCGGAGGAAGGUGGGGAUGACGUCAAGUCCUCAUGGCCCUUAUGGGUAGGGCUUCACACGUCAUACAAUGGGCGGUACAGAGGGUUGCCAACCCGGCGAGGGGGUAGCCAAUCCCAGAAAGCCGUUCGUAGUCCGGAUCGCAGUCUGCAACUCGACUGCGUGAA
rnacentral:rRNA from 1 species